CGAGGGGUAGAGCUAGCUUGCUAGCUUGAGACCGGCGCACGGGUGCGUAACGCGUAUGCAACCUACCUUGAACAGGGGGAUAGCCCAGAGAAAUUUGGAUUAAUACCCCAUGGUAUUGUCGGAUGGCAUCAUCUGAUAAUUAAAGUCACAACGGUUCAAGAUGGGCAUGCGUCCCAUUAGCUAGAUGGUAAGGUAACGGCUUACCAUGGCAACGAUGGGUAGGGGUCCUGAGAGGGAGAUCCCCCACACUGGUACUGAGACACGGACCAGACUCCUACGGGAGGCAGCAGUGAGGAAUAUUGGUCAAUGGGCGCAAGCCUGAACCAGCCAUGCCGCGUGCAGGAUGACGGUCCUAUGGAUUGUAAACUGCUUUUGUACGGGAAGAAACACUGCUUCGUGAAGCAGCUUGACGGUACCGUAAGAAUAAGGAUCGGCUAACUCCGUGCCAGCAGCCGCGGUAAUACGGAGGAUCCAAGCGUUAUCCGGAAUCAUUGGGUUUAAAGGGUCCGUAGGCGGUCUUGUAAGUCAGUGGUGAAAGCCCAUCGCUCAACGGUGGAACGGCCAUUGAUACUGCAGGACUUGAAUUACUGGGAAGCAACUAGAAUAUGUAGUGUAGCGGUGAAAUGCUUAGAUAUUACAUGGAAUACCAAUUGCGAAGG
rnacentral:rRNA from 1 species